rnacentral:rRNA from 1 species
CCUACGGGUGGCAGCAGUGAGGAAUAUUGGUCAAUGGGCGAGAGCCUGAACCAGCCAAGUCGCGUGAAGGAUGAAGGAUCUAUGGUUUGUAAACUUCUUUUAUAUGGGAAUAAAGUGAGGCACGUGUUCCUUUUUGUAUGUACCAUAUGAAUAAGCAUCGGCUAACUCCGUGCCAGCAGCCGCGGUAAUACGGAGGAUGCGAGCGUUAUCCGGAUUUAUUGGGUUUAAAGGGUGCGUAGGUGGUUAAUUAAGUCUGCGGUGAAAGUUUGGGGCUCAACCACAAGAUUGCCGUUGAAACUGGUUAACUGGAGUGUAUGUGAGGUAAGCGGAAUGCGUGGUGUAGCGGUGAAAUGCGUAGAUAUCACGCAGAACUCCGAUUGCGAAGGCAGCUUACUAAACUAUAACUGACACUGAGGCACGAAAGCGUGGGGAGCAAACAGGAUUAGAUACCCCAGUAGUC